UACGUAGGGGGCAAGCGUUGUCCGGAUUUACUGGGCGUAAAGAGCGUGUAGGCGGCCACGCAGGUCCGUUGUGAAAACUGGAGGCUCAACCUUCAGACGUCGACGGAAACCGUGUGGCUAGAGUCCGGAAGAGGAGAGUGGAAUUCCUGGUGUAGCGGUGAAAUGCGCAGAUAUCAGGAAGAACACCAAUGGCGAACGCAGCUCUCUGGGACGGUACUGACGCUGAGAAGCGAAAGCAUGGGGAGCGAACAGG
rnacentral:rRNA from 1 species